rnacentral:misc_RNA from 1 species
UUUCCGUAGGUGAACCUGCGGAAGGAUCAUUAAUGAGUUGUCAUGGGGUUCGAUGCUGGCAGCCAGUUUUUGGAUGCAUGUGCUUGCCCUAACAAUCAUCUUCUUCCAAACACCUGUGCACAUUUUUGAGGGAGUCUUGAGUUGGUUGCCGCUCUUGGGUGAUUUUCUCACAUUCCCUUAAAUCAUUAUACGCUAUUAACAAUGUUGACCGUGCUCUGUGCCGCAAGGCCCUUAAUAUAAUACAACUUUUAACAACGGAUCUCUUGGCUCUC